UAAUUCUAGAGCUAAUACAUGCUGGUGUGCCCGACUUUUGUGGAAGGGCGGUAUUUAUUAGAUAACAAGCCAAUAUUCCUCUGGUCUAUUGUGGUGACUCAUAAUAACUGAUCGAAUCGCAAGGCCUAUGGCCGCGGUAAGUCAUUCAAGUUUCUGCCCCAUCAGCUUUCGAUGGUAGUGUAUUGGACUACCAUGGCGUUUACGGGUAACGGAGGAUUAGGGUUCGAUUCCGGAGAGGGAGCCUGAGAAACGGCUACCACAUCUAAGGAAGGCAGCAGGCGCGUAAAUUACCCAAUCCUGACUCAGGGAGGUAGUGACAAGAAAUAACGGACCGGGGCCUUACGGCUUCGGGAUU
rnacentral:rRNA from 1 species